rnacentral:rRNA from 1 species
GAUGAACGCUGGCGGCGUGCCUAAUACAUGCAAGUCGAGCGAACAGAUGAGGAGCUUGCUCCUCUGACGUUAGCGGCGGACGGGUGAGUAACACGUGGAUAACCUACCUAUAAGACUGGGAUAACUUCGGGAAACCGGAGCUAAUACCGGAUAAUAUAUUGAACCGCAUGGUUCAAUAGUGAAAGACGGUUUUGCUGUCACUUAUAGAUGGAUCCGCGCCGCAUUAGCUAGUUGGUAAGGUAACGGCUUACCAAGGCAACGAUGCGUAGCCGACCUGAGAGGGUGAUCGGCCACACUGGAACUGAGACGCGGUCCAGACUCCUACGGGAGGCAGCAGUAGGGAAUCUUCCGCAAUGGGCGGAAGCCUGACGGAGCAACGCCGCGUGAGUGAUGAAGGUCUUCGGAUCGUAAAACUCUGUUAUUAGUGAAGAACAAAUGUGUAAGUAACUAUGCACGUCUUGACGGUACCUAAUCAGAAAGCCACGGCUAACUACGUG